rnacentral:rRNA from 1 species
GACGAACGAGGGAGGGGGGAGGAAGAAAGGAAAGUGGAAAGGACAGGCCCUGCUUUUGUGGGGUGCUCGAGUGGCGAACGGGUGAGUAACACGUGAGUAACCGUCCCUUGACUUUGGGAUAACUUCAGGAAACUGGGGCUAAUACCGGAUAGGAGCUCCUGCUGCAUGGUGGGGGUUGGAAAGUUUCGGCGGUUGGGGAUGGACUCGCGGCUUAUCAGCUUGUUGGUGGGGUAGUGGCUUACCAAGGCGUGGACGGGGAGCCGGCCUGAGAGGGUGACCGGCCACAUUGGGACUGAGAUACGGCCCAGACUCCUACGGGAGGCAGCAGUGGGGAAUAUUGCACAAUGGGCGGAAGCCUGAUGCAGCAACGCCGCGUGCGGGGUGCCGGACGUGGUUGUGUAAACCGCUUUCGCCUGUGACGAAGCGUGAGUGACGGUAAUGGGUAAAGAAGCACCCUCUCCCUACGUC